rnacentral:rRNA from 1 species
GACGAACCACACGAACGUUAUUCGGAAUUACUGGGCUUAAAGGGUGCGUAGGCGGCGCGGUAAGUAGGGUGUGAAAUCCCUCGGCUCAACCGAGGAGCUGCGCUCUAAACUACCGUGCUUGAGGGAGAUAGAGGUGAGCGGAACUUAGGGUGGAGCGGUGAAAUGCGUUGAUAUCCUAAGGAACACCGGUGGCGAAAGCGGCUCACUGGAUCUUUUCUGACGCUGAGGCACGGAAAAGCUAGGGUAGCGAACGGG